rnacentral:lncRNA from 1 species
AGGCUGAGGACUCUGCCCACCACGACGUCCUCUGCUCCUGAGAAGAGAGUGGCCCAUUCGGUGUCCACCCGUCAGGCCACCCAGCAGCCAGGCACGCUCAUAAGCCCGCGUUACGGAUGGUGCGGCCGGGUGCACAGGCCCGAGGGAAGCACAGGCCUCGGCCUCCCAGCUCCCAACCCCUGCACCACCCACAGCCGGGAGUACCCCAUGGACAGCUGUGGCCGAGGAGAAGCCAGGGAUGAGGGGGAUGGGCCUCACCUCCCCACCAGCCUGGGAAGGGGGUAGGCCCCUGGCAAGUAGGAGGGAAGCUGAGGCUCAGAGACAUCAUGAGGAUGCCAGCUCAAGGCCCAGCCAGGCCUUGGUCCUCAGCUGCUGUCAUCCAGUAGGCUCAAGCCCAGAGGCCUCCAGGGUGUCCAGCCUCCAGGGUGCCUCCUACGCAGCCUCCACGUCCCCAUCCACUGCAGCCCCUGACCAUCGGGCACACCGUGGGGCCUUCGCUGGCCGCCGGGCCUCAGGUUCUGCUGCACCAAGUGAUUUUUAAAGCCCCAUCUGCCUUUCUCCACUUAUAAAGAACUUGGGACAUUUCCUCGAGGUUGGGCAUUUUUCCAGAUGUGGUUUCAGUGUCUCGCUUGCUACCUGGUCCCCUGUGCUGGGCGGUCCGCUGUGACGCACCUGGCAGUCCUUGCUCUAGGAUGGAUUCGGGCCGGCCCUUGUUCUGAGAACAGAGAACGGCCCUUGUUCUGAGGAGGCUGGGGUCUGGAAUCUGCUUCCUGGUCCCCUGCUGUGUGCAGACAGCCACCGUCACCCAGGCCCAGGGGUGCCUGCAGGUGCUGGGCAUCUCACCCUGGCCCCCACAGGGGCUCCCCAUGCCCUGCACCCCUCGGUCUGUGCCGGGGACUUCCCUGCUCUGCUGUUGCAGGCCUCGUCCUUUGCCGAGGGGGUCUCUUUCCCACGUGUCCCUGAGACUCCUCAGCCAUCCCAGAGGCUCUCGGCCGUCUGAGCACCCCUGACCAUGAAGCCUUCCUGGCCCACUCUCUGUGUGUGAGGCAGAGCCCAUCCCUACCAUUCCGACCCACACCAGAGGCUCCGGAAGGUUUGCUGACUGACCUGUGACUGCAAGAAGCUGAAGGAAUGUGGGCGCAGACCCGGCAGGGGCUUUUCUUGGUGCAAAGUCAACUGGCUGUCCAUGCAAGCCUGCUGCUGUGGCCAGCCCUCCCGCCAGGCGCCUGGUACCCUCCCUGGACCCAGUUGCCAGGACAGUGAUCCCCAGCUGUGGCCAGGACUCUGCCCGGGGCCCUGUCUACUCAGUGUCUCCAGUGGUCCCCAUGCAGAAACUGCCCCCCUUGCUGCCCAUGAGGCAUGGGAUAGGGUCAGCAUCCGAGAGGCAGGCCCUGCUGUUCCCCUCUGCACAGAGGCUGGGGGAGUGAGUUGCCCGGGCAAGUCCCCGGGCAGGCACUGGGCCUCCUGAGCAGGUGAGCUGAGAAGGCCCCAGCUGGUGUAGGCCUCGAGAGCUGCAGGACUGGCCAUGGGGCAGACCUGGCAUUGUCAUUCUAGAGCUGGGCCUGGGGGGUGGCUGGUGCAGUGCAGAUCUCAGGUGGAGGCCACCUGCCCGUCCUUUCCACGUGGCUCAGGGCUCAGACCCACCUGCCUGUCCCUGGAAGCCCCUAGACUGCUCAGAGCACAGACCUCAGUGGGAAAGACAGUAGAUAGGCCUGGGUAUGGUCUCCCAGCCCUGAGAAGUGGGGAGCCCACUCAGACCUUUCCAGGACCCCAGGUCCCCUCAGCAGCCCACAGAGCGUGGGUGGAGCCUGGGCUGGGGUUGGGUCACUUGGGAGCCAAAGGCCCAUUUCUGCUGCUUCCAGGGAGUCCCAGGGAGACGGCAGAGGCAGUGCCUGGCUGGGGCCCUGGUUGGCGUGCCGUUUGAGGGGUGCAUGCACUGGGAAGUUGGCCAGGCCUGCCCAAAUCAGGGGGCUUCCAGGAGGAGAGACAUCAGGAGGAUGGGCACAGAGGCGGCUUAGCACCAGGGCUGGCACCUCCAGGUAGGGGCUGUGGGGGGCUGGACCAGACAGGGAGGCUGUCACGAUGCCUGGCUGUUGGAUGGGGGCACAGAGGCUCUGAGUGGGGUGGCAGAGCUUGGCCACCAGGUCCAUCUGCACCCCCCAUGCCCCCUCACUACCCCCAGACCCCCAUGAUCCCAAACUACUCAGUCCCAGGGACCCCUGCAGAGCCUGUGGUGGGGGUGAUCUUCCACCCUGCCUGGCCCCUGCCCACCUCACCUCAGAACUUUCUCCAAAAAGUAAGAGCCCCGGGGGACGAAACUUCGAGGCUCCACCCCUUGGGCUCUGGUACAAACCCCGAGCCUCCUCCGAGGGCUGAGUCACUGGGAAAGCCGGGAUGGGCUGGCCCCUCCCCCUCCCUCUCCUUCCUUCCUCCUUCCCCCUUUCUCGGUCUCCCUCUUUUUCUCUUUGCUUUACUUCUCUUUCUUGCCUCCCUCUCUCCCUCUCUUCUUUCGUUCCUUUCAUCUUCUUCCCUUCCUCCGUCUUUGCCUUUCUUCUUUUCUGAGGGUAAAAAUAGCUGGAAAAC